AGACAUAGGGUGCGUUCAUAAAUUCACUCUGGCUAUCUACUCCGAUUUCAGAGCACUCUCGCCAGACCACAGUAUAACUGCUGAAUUUACGAAUGCUCACCAGUUGAAUAUGGCCGGUGUCAGUAAACGUUGGCAAAAUGCGUAAUUAUAUUGUUGCCAAUAGCACAGUUACAGUCACCAACGCUCUGGAUAACACGAAAACAGCCUAAUCAGCUCUACUUGGCAGGGAGACAUGCAGUACCAGCAAAUCUUCUGCAAGAGAACCAAACAGUUGGUGGUUAUGAAGCCCUACACCACUUUCGGCAGUCUUAUCCAGCUGGCUGUUCAUCUCAGUUGUGUAGUUGCACCCUGACAGUGGCAAGUGGCAAGCAGGUCAUCCUGAUUGGUAUAAUUGUACGGACAGAGAUUAUCACACUACUGUCAAUGGGCUGGAAUAAGAGGAAGUUCACCAACAUGGAUCGCAUGUAACACUCGUCUGAAGAAGUGGACCAUAAUCAUAUUCUUUAAUGAUAACCACAAAAAGAAGAGAGAGAGAACCAACGAAACGUACAGCCUUGAAGGGCUCAACAGCAACAAUACAAGGACAAGAUCCUACAACAUAGAAUGUCAAAAGACUGGAGGAGACCAGCCUCGCAAAAAGCGGGAAGAGCUAGACAUCAACACCGCUGUGCUACAGGAGUGGAUUACUGAGGUCCAGCAGUGGCCUGAUGGUGGGAGUUGCCUAAGUCUAGGAACCUCAUGGGCGUGGAAGUGUGUAUGGGAUAGGACUGUAGUCAGAUGGUUUUCGGGGUGGGCCCCCUAUGGCCCCCCUCCCAGCAGUGUCUUCUCUCCAACUGCUGACGUUAUCUUGAGUUGAGUUCCACAUCCCUCAUUGUCCUAAUUCCACAGCAACUGGCCUGCCUUAUCAGUAACUGAAACCUAACUGCUACCCUUUGCCUCUUUACUUAGAAAUAUUAAUAUUCAGCAAUAACAUGUUUGAAUAGAAUAAGAACUUUCUGCACUUCCCUUGUCUCACUCAGUAACUUUCCAUACCCAAAGUUCCUAUUCACCCUUCAUUGACACCUAACAUGUAAAGUAAUCAAUACGUUCUAAUAUGAUGACAGGAAUAAGUAUGUUUCAAGCCAGAAUCCAACAGGUAGAAAAAUGACCGUUUCUGUCUCAACUUCAUAAUUGCAUUAAUGUCAGUGGAGUCAUGUUUGACAGACACACUUCAGGAUCGUCAGACGGGGCAUCUCCAGAAGAAGCUUGAAGGGCUUUACCACAGUGUGAAAGAGGAAACUACUUCUACCAUUUGACAGGUAAGCCCCAACAACAGUAUGACCUCAAACAUAUUAUUAAUCAAGCAGUAAAAGUGAGUUGUGAAAGAGAAUGCAUUAGUCAUACACAUCAGACCAUGUUAAUGAUCAAAUGUAGGUAUGACCUAUGUUAUUAAUUGAUCUAAUGCAAAACAUGUAAUUAAACUGAGAAAUUAUGUGACCAUGAACCUCUUGUGAGCCACACCUCUGCAUGCCUUGUGUAAUGUUAACUACAUGACGACAAAUGCUUUGGAAAUGAGUUGCUUGCUUUGUAUUCUUUGUUUGUGCCUCUAUAGUAGCUCUAACUUAUAGUCAUGUAAUAUAUCUGAAUAUACAGUCCAUCUAAUCACCCUUUUUAUUUUGACGGCAACAAGAGGCGGCAUCUGAUUCUGAGAAAUUGAGGACAAAGCAGCCUUGACAGCUGCCAUUGUUCAACUUCACGAGCAGCAGGCAGAGUUUAGGCUCCCCACAGUGGAUGAGCAGCUCAAUACUGAUAACUUUGUGUGGCCAUGGGAGAGACUUGGCACCAGUAAAUAUAUGAUUGCAGAAAGUAUCUUUUGUUAUUGAAUGUUUACCUUCAGCGUAGGCUGCAAUCAUUGCUGUUCUGUUAUAUACCUCUGGGUUUACAGCUCACAGGCAACUGCCAUCAAAAGGCAAUCUUCAACAGACUGAUGUUAGUGAACAGACUGCAGGAGGAAGAGAGGAUCCUGGUCCGGGAGAUGAAGAGGCACUGGGGGAGCCUACAAAGAGCAGUGGGAACUGUGGCGGCACUGUACCUACAAGAUAAGUUGAGGUUUAUACUAUUUUUGGACUGAACUUUUUGUCUUGCUUUUACAAAUACCCUCCACACUAUUUUGUGUAAUGGAAUUGUAAAUGUACUGCUUACAUGUGACUUUUAGGUAAUGCAGUGGAGUUUUCAGAGGGAGGGAAGAAUGGCCUUCUCUGCCACCCGAAGAGAAGAUUGAGUGAACUGACACAAGACCAAGUUGACACCAGGAAUACCUACCACAAGCUGAUUCUGGGAGAAGGGGAUAUUUUUUUAUGACUGAUGUAGGUGAGAACUCCGAUGAAGAUAGAAGUUCUAUUGCUGAGAGCUCAGAUGACAACUGCUAUGCUUUCUGAAAUCCUACACCACCCCUGCCUCUUUCUCUCGGUCUCACUUUCUUCCGCAGGAGAGGGAGAAGGCCGCCAACCACCUCCCUUGGGAGCAGCCUGGUCUCCUGACGUUGACCCCUCACCUUCUGAACCCAUCCAGGGAAAUGUAAUUUGCCUGAUGAUGUGCUAGUGGAGAAGGAAUGUGUCAUGUUUCCUCUCCUCACCACCUCUCUUCCGGUCCUAGACUAUGGCAACAUCAUCUGCAACUCAUACUGUUGGUUGAGGACCUCUUACUGAGGAAUGUGGUUCUUCAUUAUUAUUUAUCUGUAUUUACUACAAGUAUUUUCUAUGCUGCCAUGAUUGGGGUUUUUGUGAGUUGCAAAAGAGUCCUUGAUCUCAAUGGGACUGCUAAAAUAAAUAAAGGUCUUAACAAAUAAAUA